GACGAACGCUGGCGGCGUGCUUAACACAUGCAAGUCGAACGGACAGGCCCUGCUCUUGCGGGGUGCUCGAGUGGCGAACGGGUGAGUAACACGUGAGUAACAUCCCCUUGUCUUUGUGAUAACUUCAGGAAACUGGGGCUCAUACCGGAUAGGAGCUCCUGCUGCACGGUGGGGGUUGGUAAGUUUCGGCGGUUGUGGAUGGACUCGCGGCUUACCAGCCUGUUGGUGGGGUAGUGGCUUACCAAGGCUUUGACGGAUAGCCGGCAUGAGAGGGUGACCGGGGACCUGAGGACUAAGAGACGGCCCAGUCGCCAACAGUAGGCAGCGGUGGGAAAUAUUGCACAGUGGGCGGGAGCCUGAUACAGCGACGCCGCGUGCGUGAAAACGGCCUACGGGUUGUAAACCACUUUCGCCUGUGACAAGGCGUGAGUGACGGUAAUGGAUAAAGAAGCAACGGCUAACUACGUG
rnacentral:rRNA from 1 species